UUUCUUUACAUGUGUAUGUGUGUGUACAUGUACUUGUGUGAAUAUGUGCAUAUACACGCGUGCGCAUAUA
rnacentral:miRNA from 1 species